rnacentral:rRNA from 1 species
AUUGAACGCUGGCGGCAUGCUUUACACAUGCAAGUCGAACGAGUGGCGAACGGGUGAGUAAUAUAUCGGAACGUACCGAGUAAUGGGGGAUAACCAAUCGAAAGAUUGGCUAAUACCGCAUAUUCUUCGGGCGGCCGAUAACUGCUUAGCUAGUUGGUGGGGUAAAGGCCUACCAAGGCGACGAUCUCUAGCUGGUCUGAGAGGAUGAACAGCCAGACUGGAACUGAGACACGGCCCAGACUCCUACGGGAGGCAGCAGUGGGGAAUAUUGCACAAUGGGGGCAAGCCUGAUGCAGCCAUGCCGCGUGUAUGAAGAAGGCCUUAGGGUUGUAAAGUAUUUUCAGCGGGGAGGCGUUACCCGCAGAAGAAGCACCGGCUAACUCCGUGCCAGCAGCCGCGGUAAUAC